GACGAACCGAGCGAACGUUAUUCGGAUUCACUGGGCUUAAAGGGUGCGUAGGCGGGCUGUCAAGUCUGGGGUGAAAUCCCGCGGCUCAACCGUGGAACUGCCUCAGAUACUGAUGGCCUCGAGGAAGGUAGGGGCAUGCGGAACUGUAGGUGGAGCGGUGAAAUGCGUUGAUAUCUACAGGAACUCCGGUGGCGAAAGCGGCGUGCUGGACCUUUUCUGACGCUGAGGCACGAAAGCUAGGGGAGCAAACGGG
rnacentral:rRNA from 1 species